rnacentral:lncRNA from 1 species
CCACUCCCAUUUUCUAUAAGGGUCCUGGAUGCAGAGUGUUGAAACUUGAAGGCUUUUGGCUCCAUUCUAGAGCUUGUCCUGUAAAAAUAGCACCACAGCUGAAAUCAUUCCCAAAAUAAACUUGGGAGCCAUGCUGCAAGCUCAGCAGUCACUGUCUGUGCGAAGUGGGCACCGCGCUUCACUCAGGAUCCAUGGCUGCCGAGGGCACCUGCCAAGCUCAGUUGCAAAGCAUAGGGCCCUGUUUGGGCCUUUAAGAAGAAAACAGUGGACCUGACG